rnacentral:rRNA from 1 species
UACGUAGGGGACCGAGCGUUGUCCGGAAUCAUUGGGCGUAAAGAGCGUGUAGGCGGCCUUUUAAGUCCUGCGUGAAAUCCUGCGGCUCAACCGCAGACGGUCGUGGGAAACUGGAAGGCUAGAGUGCGGGAGAGGAGAGUGGAAUUCCCGGUGUAGCGGUGAAAUGCGCAGAUAUCGGGAAGAACACCCGUGGCGAAGGCGGCUCUCUGGAACGCAACUGACGCUGAGACGCGAAAGCGUGGGGAGCAAACAGG